rnacentral:rRNA from 1 species
CCUACGGGUGGCAGCAGUGGGGAAUAUUGCACAAUGGGGGAAACCCUGAUGCAGCGACGCCGCGUGAGUGAAGAAGUAUUUCGGUAUGUAAAGCUCUAUCAGCAGGGAAGAAAAAGGAGGUAACUGAUUAAGAAGCCCCGGAUAACUACGUGCCAGCAGCCGAGGUAAUACGUAGGGGGCAAGCGUUAUCCGGAUUUACCGGGUGUAAAGGGGGGGUUGACGGCUGGGCAAGUCUGGAGUGAAAUGCCGGGGCUCAAACCCGGGACUGCUUUGGAAACUGUGGAGCUAGCGUGCAGGAGAGGUAAGUGGAAUUCCUAGUGUAGCGGUGAAAUGCGUAGAUAUUAGGAGGAACACCAGUGGCGAAGGCGGCUUACUGGACUGUAACUGACGUUGAGGCUCGAAAGCGUGGGGAGCAAACAGGAUUAGAUACCCCGGUAGUC